GAUCUAUGGAUGAAAGUGGGGGAUCGCAAGACCUCAUGCUCCUGGAGCGGCCGAUAUCUGAUUAGCUAGUUGGUGAGGUAAAGGCUCACCAAGGCGACGAUCAGUAGCUGGUCUGAGAGGACGACCAGCCACACUGGAACUGAGACACGGUCCAGACUCCUACGGGAGGCAGCAGUGGGGAAUUUUGGACAAUGGGCGCAAGCCUGAUCCAGCAAUGCCGCGUGAGUGAAGAAGGCCUUCGGGUUGUAAAGCUCUUUUGUCAGGGAAGAAACGGCUGAGGCUAAUAUCCUCGGCUAAUGACGGUACCUGAAGAAUAAGCACCGGCUAACUACGUGCCAGCAGCCGCGGUAAUACGUAGGGUGCAAGCGUUAAUCGGAAUUACUGGGCGUAAAGCGUGCGCAGGCGGUUUUGUAAGUCUGUCGUGAAAGCCCCGGGCUCAACCUGGGAAUUGCGAUGGAGACUGCAAGGCUUGAAUCUGGCAGAGGGGGGUAGAAUUCCACGUGUAGCAGUGAAAUGCGUAGAGAUGUGGAGGAACACCGAUGGCGAAGGCAGCCCCCUGGGUCAAGAUUGACGCUCAUGCACGAAAGCGUGGGGAGCAAACAGGAUUAGAUACCCUGGUAGUCCACGCCCUAAACGAUGUCUACUAGUUGUCGGGUCUUAAUUGACUUGGUAACGCAGCUAACGCGUGAAGUAGACCGCCUGGGGAGUACGGUCGC
rnacentral:rRNA from 1 species